rnacentral:rRNA from 1 species
UACGUAGGGGGCAAGCGUUGUCCGGAUUUAUUGGGCGUAAAGAGCGUGUAGGCGGCCAUACAGGUCCGUUGUGAAAACUGGAGGCUUAACCUCCAGACGUCGAUGGAAACCGUAUGGCUAGAGUCCGGAAGAGGAGAGUGGAAUUCCUGGUGUAGCGGUGAAAUGCGUAGAUAUCGUAAGGAAGACCAGUGGCGAAGGCGGGUCGUCUGGACAGUUCCUGACGCUGAGGCACGAAGGUCAGGGAGCAACGGGG